GAUCAUGGCUCAGGAUGAACGCUGGCGGCGUGCCUAACACAUGCAAGUCGAACGAAGCAAUUAAAAUGAAGUUUUCGGAUGGAUUUUUGAUUGACUGAGUGGCGGACGGGUGAGUAACGCGUGGAUAACCUGCCUCACACUGGGGGAUAACAGUUAGAAAUGACUGCUAAUACCGCAUAAGCGCACAGUACCGCAUGGUACGGUGUGAAAAACUCCGGUGGUGUGAGAUGGAUCCGCG
rnacentral:rRNA from 1 species